AACGAACGCUGGCGGCAGGCCUAACACAUGCAAGUCGAGCGCGCCUUCGGGUGAGCGGCGGACGGGUUAGUAACGCGUGGGAACGUGCCCUUCUCUACGGAAUAGCCUCUGGAAACGGAGAGUAAUACCGUAUACGCCCUUUGGGGGAAAGAUUUAUCGGAGAAGGAUCGGCCCGCGUUAGAUUAGGUAGUUGGUGGGGUAACGGCCUACCAAGCCUACGAUCUAUAGCUGGUUUUAGAGGAUGAUCAGCAACACUGGGACUGAGACACGGCCCAGACUCCUACGGGAGGCAGCAGUGGGGAAUCUUAGACAAUGGGGGCAACCCUGAUCUAGCCAUGCCGCGUGAGUGAUGAAGGCCUUAGGGUCGUAAAGCUCUUUCGCCUGUGAUGAUAAUGACAGUAGC
rnacentral:rRNA from 1 species